rnacentral:rRNA from 1 species
CGCGUAGGCGGUCUUAUUAGUCAGAUGUGAAAGCCCGGGGCUCAACCCCGGAAGUGCAUUUGAAACGGCAAGACUUGAGUAUGGGAGAGGGAAGUGGAAUUCCUGGUGUAGAGGUGAAAUUCGUAGAUAUCAGGAGGAACAUCUGUGGCGAAGGCGACUUCCUGGACCAAUACUGACGCUAAGGCGCGAAGGCGUGGGUAGCAAACAGGAUUAGAUACCCUGGUAGUCC